GACGAACGCUGGCGGCGUGCUUAACACAUGCAAGUCGAACGGAAAGGCCCUGCUUUUGUGGGGUGCUCGAGUGGCGAACGGGUGAGUAACACGUGAGUAACCUGCCCUUGACUUUGGGAUAACUUCAGGAAACUGGGGCUAAUACCGGAUAGGAGCUCCUGCUGCAUGGUGGGGGUUGGAAAGUUUCGGCGGUUGGGGAUGGACUCGCGGCUUAUCAGCUUGUUGGUGGGGUAGUGGCUUACCAAGGCUUUGACGGGUAGCCGGCCUGAGAGGGUGACCGGCCACAAUGGGACUGAGGUACGGCCCAGACUCCUACGGGAGGCAACAGGGGGGAAUAUUGCACAAAGGGGGGGAGCCUGAUGCAACAACGCCGGGUGCGGGAAGACGGGCUUCGGGGUGGAAACCGCUUUCGCCUGUGACGAAGCGGUAGUGACGGUAAUUGGUAAAGAAGCACCGGCUAACUACGUG
rnacentral:rRNA from 1 species